GCACGCCGGGAGAGCGAGUUUGUUUCCCCCUCCCCGCAAAAUGGCGGCGGGUAGCCAGGCGGGGCUUCAGGGGACUACGCGUCCCGGCGUGCUCCGCGGCACCGCCUACAAGGAGAGAGGUUUUACCUCGCGUGGGUUGCCGGGAAAUAGAGUCCGCUCGCCGCUGCGAGCGAAUGGGCGGCCGUCGCGCGGAGACUACGACUCCCAUCUUUCCCCGCGCCAGGCGGAGCCUUCCCGUUUCGAAAGCCAGUGGCGCAUGUUUUAAUAGCCAGGCAAGGGAGGAGCCCUCCACACACACCCACGUAGAUAUAUCUCCUGCCAAAGAACCGGUUGAGGAUUCACGGACAUUAUUCCUGCUUUGAAAGCAGUAUUUAGGCGUCUAACCUUUUCACCCCAAAGAGGCUUAACCAAGGUAAGGCGCAUCGAAACUCACUCUGGGGAAUUUCCUCCUCUCUAUGUACAAAGGAAAGGUGGCCAAGGGAGAACUAUAAAUCCCAGGAGCCUGCAAACCAUAAUGACAUGGAUACAUCUGGAAUCCUGAAGGAAUGCCAAAGCCUCCCCUGGCUUUGGCCCAGGCACAUUAUUUGGACCAACAGCCAGGAAACGGGGGCUUAAGCGGAGGCUUUGCAGAAAGGCAUUAUUACGACGGGAUUACGAUGGGAGCGGAUUGCAAGCCACAUCUGCCCCAAAAAAGCACGUUCAGCGAAGCAGGGACAGGGCUAAGCCCCGGGCAGGCACGUCGCACACUGCUAAAGGCCACAACAACAACAAACAACAACAAUAAUAGUAGAACUGCCCAUCUGCAUGAUAAGCUUGUUUUGGUGUCCACUUUCUGAUUGGUUGCAUUUUUGCUUUGUUAAUUUUCUGAAAUAACCACAGGGUUCACCCCACGAUUUUGUAGCACUUUAUCAACUACCUCAUGUUUACAAAAUUCACGUAGCGCACUUUUGCCCAGCUUGUUUUUAUGAUUCUAUUGCUGUAUUUUAAUUUGUUUUACCAAAUUAAAUUAUUUUAUUAUAUUAAUAUUAAUAUUAAAUUUUAUUAUAUUUAUUUAUUAUAUACAGUAUAUCCUUCUAUUAACAAUUUGCACGUGGUUUUUGUUAUUUGAUGUGUUCCUUAUUGUAUUUGCCUGGGCUUUCGCCUCGAGUCCCUUCAGGGAGAUGGAGGCAGGGUAUAAGAAUAAAGAUUAUUAUUAUUAUUAUUAUUAUUAUUGUAUCCUAUUUAGGGCAGCAAGCCACCUUCCUAUAAGAGAGGCAGCUCUUGCUUCAAUUCAGAAGAAAGGAAACUGUUUUCUUCUUGCAGUGAGCAGGUCUUAUUGUUGUUGUUGUUGUUGUUGUUAUUGUUAUUGUUGCUGGAGGUAUUUCCUUCCUGCAGUGAGCAAGUCUUAAAAUAAUAAUGAUGAUAAUAAUAAUUGCUUUACAUAUUUACUUCCUGCAGUGAGCAUGUCUUAAAUCAAUAAUAAUAAUAAUAAUAAUAGCAGCAGCAUUAGGUAUUUCCUUCCUGCAGUGAGCAUGUCUUAAAUUAAUAAUAAUAAUAAUAAUAAUAAUAAUAAUAGCAGCUUUAGGUAUUUCCUUCCUGCAGUGAUCAUGUCUUAAAUCAAUAAUAAUAAUAAUAGUAAUAAUAAUAAUAGCAGCAGCUUUAGGUAUUUCCUUCCUGCAGUGAACAUGUCUAAUAAUAAUAAUAAUAAUAAUAAUAAUAAUAUAGCUUUAGGUAUUUUGUUCCUGCAGUGUGCAUGUCUUAAACUAAUAAUAAUAAUAAUAAUCGUGUCAGAAGCAGACCAAGCUUACAAGUUAAAAUUAUUGUUGCUAUUGUUGUUACAGUAUUUUCUUCCCCCAGUGAGCAAGUCUCAAAUAAUAAUAAUAAUAAUAAUAAUAAUUAUUAUUAUUAUUAUUAUUAUAAUACAUCACACAGUCCUAGACACUUGGGAAGUGUUCGACAUGUAAUUUUGUGAUACGAUAUCCAGCAUAUCUAUCUUAUUUGCUGUGUCAUAAUAAAAUAAUAAUAAUAAUUAUUAUUAUUACUAUAAAAAUACUUUUACCUAUUUAUUUCCUGAACUGAGCAAGUCUUCAAACAAUGUUGAGAGUAUCUAUUUUCUCCCUACACUGAACAAACAUUAAAAACAAUAACUAAUCUGUUUUCUUCCUUCAGCGAGAAGAAAUAGAAAUCAAAAAAUAGAAAUUGGCUGCCAACAAUGGCCUUUUUGUGCUUUUAUUUUUGGGACCCACAGAGAGAGCAUUUGGGGGAAAGGACACCAUCGUGUUCUCGAGAUAUAUAUAUAUAUAUAUAUAUAUAUAUAUAUAUAUAUAUAUCUUUUCUCUAUAACGCUUUGUGGGCCUUUAAAAAUAAAGCAAAAGAGGCUACAUCCCGAUAUAUCCGCUGCUUUGUUUAAUCAAUUUCCUUGUUUGGACUCAUUGAAUAGGACAAAGCUGAAUCAAAACCAAGCAGAUGUUCAUCGACAAUAGAAGCUGAGAUUUAUAUUCCAUUUUUUUCUCUAGAAUGGAAAGCCAUGUAAUAAUAAAUAGAGUAAAAUAAUAAAUGCAAUAAUAAUAAUAAUAAUAAUAAAUGCAAUAAUAAUAAUAAAAAUACAGGAAAAUAAUACAUGUAAUAAUAAAUAGAGUAAAAUAAUAAAUGCAAUAAUAAUAAUAAUAAUAAUAAUAAUAAUAAUAAUAAUAAUAAUAUACAGGAAAAUAAUACAUGCAAUAAUAAUAAUAAUAUCAGAGUGAAAUAAUAAAUGUAAUAAUAAUAGAGUAAAAUAAAUGUAAUAGUAGCAACAAUAAUAGAGAAAAAUAAUAAAUAUAAUACAGUAGAGUCUCACUUAUCCAACGUUCUGGAUUAUCCAACGCAUUUUUGCAUUGUGAUAUUUUGGUGCUAAAUUCGUAAAUACAGUAAUUACUACAUAGCAUUAAUGUUUAAUGAACUACUUUUUCUGUCAAAUUUGUUGUAUAACAUGAUGUUUUGGUGCUUAAUUUGUAAAAUCAUAACCUAAUUUGAUGUUUAAUAGGCUUUUUCUUAAUCUCUCCAUAUUAUCCAACAUAUUUGCUUAUCCAACGUUCUGCCGGCCCGUUUAUGUUGGAUAAGUGAGACUCUACUGUAAUACAUGUAAUAAUAAAUAGAGUAAAAUAAUAAAUGCAAUAAUAAUAAUAAUUAGAUCAGAGUGAAAUAAUAAAUGUAAUGAUAAUAAUAAUAGAGUAAAAUAAAUGUAAUAGUAGCAACAAUAAUAGAGAAAAAUAAGAAAUAUAAUAACACCAAUAGUAAUAGAGAAAAUAAUAAAUGUGCCAUAUAUUCUCGAGUAUAAGCUGACCCAAAUAUAAACCAACCAGGACCCUCACCUGAGUAUAAGCCGAGGGGGGCUUUUUCAAUCUUAAAAAAAGGGCUGAAAAACUAGGCUUAGACUCGAGUAUAUACAGUAAAUUAUUAAUAAUAUUAACAAUCCAUAUGGCCACCCCAAAACAUCCUUUUUCCAGGUAUCCAACGCUUUUUCUCUCUCCAAGUCAAACUUCUGAGAAGUUUCAUAAUCUCAAAGCAACAGCAAUAAUAAACAAUGGAGGGAAAGCCUAAAAAGCCGUGUUCCCAUCUCAUUAGCCAUGUUGUCCCAUGUUUCCAUUUGGCUGAGAAAGGAAUGCAGGCCAUAAUUAUCCCAAAGGCGCCUAUUUUCUUGGAAGCGACAAAUAAAACAACAACCAUUUGUGUCCCGUUGCCGCUGCUGUGUUUGUUUGGUGCAUCUAUGUUAUGUAUUUCAUAUUGGUAUGUGUAGAGAGGCAAGUAACUAUUGAUUAUUUAAUAAUUAAAUUAUUUGAUCAUUUAACAAUCAAAACAAUUUCUUUCCAUUAUUAAUUAAAUCUAUAUAAAUAAAAAUGUCAUGUCCAUUUGUGAGGGGCCUCAUAUCUCCCAAACUAUUUCACCAAUUACUUCGAAAUGUGGACAUAACAUAGCAUUCCAACUGGCGAGUGUUAUAAGGUAUUCACAUACCUACUAUUAUUCGUCUGCCACUCCUGAGACAGGUAAAACCAUGCAUAUAAAAGAAGGCAUUGCAUUUAUAGCUCAAGCUUUAAAAAAAAACCUUUCAUUCUUUUCCAUUCUUUUUAUUCUAUUGAUUAUUUAAUAAUUAAAUUAUUUGAUCAUUUAACAAUCCAAACAAAUUCUUUCCAUUAUUCAUUAAUUCUAUAUAAAUAAAAAUGUCAUGUCCGUUUGUGAGGGACCUCAUAUCUCCCAAACUAUUUCACCAAUUGCUUUGAAAUUUGGACACAACAUAGCAUUCGAACUGGCGAGUGUUUUAAGGUAUUCACAUACUUACUAUUACUUAUCCGUCACACUUGAGACAGGUAGUAAGUGUUCUAAGGUAGUUCACAUACCUACUAUUACUCGUCUGCCACUCCUGAGACAGGUAAAACCAUACAUAUAAAAGAAGGCAUUGCAUUUAUAGCUCAAGCUUUUUAAAAAACCCUUUUAUUCUUUUCCAUCAAGUUGGGAAAAUUAAAAGGUCACAAACAAAAUAAUACUUCAAGGCACCAUAGACGUUAAGGCAAGGUGAGGUGGGAAAUUCAGCGAGAAUCUAUUUUUUUUUUUCCAAAAUGGGGGGAAAGCCCCGCGUUGAAGUAAUGUAUCACCCCAAUUAAUUAGUUAAGACGAACAGACAGACGACAAGUUAGAGAAGAUUGGAUAGACUGGAUUGAAAAUAGAUCAUAUGACAGAGAAGAUCAGAAGUGACUAAUAAAAAGAAGCAUAAAGCAUAGUUCAAAUGCUCCCUGGAUAAAUAAGGAAGAGAGAUCGAUAUUACAUUAGGCAGAUGAGAUAGAAAGAUAAGACCGAGACGAUAGAGAGGUUGAUUAGACAGACAAGAUAGAUAAGAAAUUGGGUAAAUAAUACUGAUUUGACAAUAUAGAUAGACUGGUUACAUAGGCAAGAUAGAUAGGUAGACUGAUACGAAAGAAUAUUUAUUUACAAUUGUUUUGCUUAGAUUCUUCCCUCCCAGACCACCAUGGUAUAUUGACUGAAGACCUAUGCGGUGAUUGGGGAAGUGUGCCACCUAGAGACCAAAGAUGGUACUGCAGGUUUAAAAAAAGAUAUUUAUAGUUACUAGAGUCUGCUAGCCAACGAUGGGAGACUCAGGGAGAAGUUAAUUUGCAAUUGUUUGGCUUAGAUUCUUCCCUCCCGGGCCAUUACGAUGCUAUAUUCACUGAAGACCUAUGCAGUGAUUGGGGAAGUGUGCCACCUAGAGACCAAAGACGGUACUGCAGGAUUUAAAAAAGAUAUUGAUAGUUACUAGGGUCUACUAGCCAACGAUAGGAGACUCAGGGAGAAGUUAAUUUGCAAUUAUUUUGCUUAGAUUCUUCCUCGGCCAUUAUGCUGCUAUAUUGACUGAAGAACUAUGUGGUGAUUGGGGAAGUGUGCCACCUAGAGACCAAAGACGGUACUGCAGGAUUUAAAAAAGAUAUUUAAAAACCAUGAUGUGGUUUCCCCCGCUUUAGAGCCUGAGGAAGAGGAGGCUGGUGAGGAGGGCGAAUCCAGCCAGGAGUGCCAUAGCCCGGAGGAUGUGCUGCCGCCUCUGGGUUCUGGAUUGGGUUCCGUGGUGUAGACCCUCCGUGGUGCAGGAGAGGUAGAGGAAGGCUCCGGCAGCCAGGCCUUGCAGUACGGAGCGUGAGAGGUGGGACAACGGGGAGGAUGGGCCCACCGGUUCUCGUACGAGGGUGGCCCCCAGCACCAGUCCUAAGGGGGCCGAGGCAGCAAAGAGGGCCACCCCGGCGGCCACUGCCCGGCCCCACAGCCCACCCUGGGCCAGCCGCAGCCCCAGAGCGAAGGCCAGCAGCCCCUGGUGCAGCAGCAGGGACGGGCACAGCUCUAGAACCCAGACGGAGCUCGCUUGCAGCCCCGAGGAAAGGCACAAGGAGAGCAGCAAGGCACUCAAGCGCAGGCCGGACGGGGGGUCUUUGUGGGUAGAAGCAGAGGGGCUCCAGAGGGUCUCCUUGCUCUCUUUCUCCUCCUCCUCCUGGGGCUCCUUGCAGGCCAAGAGGAUCUGCUCCAGGAUCAGGACCAGGAAGAAGCCCAUGGAGAGGAUGAACUCCGGCAGAGGGAAGAGCAGCUGCAGACAAAGAGGAGGAGAAGGGAGAGAUACAAAGACAUGUGAAAAAUACAUUUCUAAUGGAUAUGUGGUCACAGCACGUUUCACCAAAGGGUUAAGCAAGUGGAGGUGUGGAUCCAGAUCAGGCCUGGGCCAACUUGGGCCCUCUCUCCACGUGUUCUGGACUUCAACUCCCACAACAACAACAAUAAAAAAUUGCCAUUAAUUGGCUUAGAUUCCUCCCUCCCAGGUCACCUUGAAGUUCUAUUUACUGAAGAACUAUGCUGUGAUUGCAGAGGUCUGCCACCUAGAGACCAAAGGCGGUACUGCAAGAUGUAAAUACAGCCGAGGAAGAUAUGACUUGGCAAUGAUUUGACUUGGAUUUCCUCCCCUCCAGCCACACUCACCGUGACCCGGAGCUCUUCCAGGGCCCCUUUGAUGGCGCCCAGGUAACUGGGGAGAAGGUCCAGGAGGCAAGUGGCCAGGAAGACCCCGCUGGUCAAGCAGCCGAGCAGGCCGAGGGACUCCCUCCGGAGCGCUGGAGGAAGAAAGAGGAGAGGAAGGGGCCUCAGGGGGGAGGAGAGACACAGGAGGGACCCCCAAAGGGCAUCCAGCCCAGCCCCCUUCUUUCCGCCAGGAAGGAAAGCACCACUCUAUCACUCCCGGCACAUGGCCAUCCAGGCUCUUAUUAAUGACAACAAUAAUAAUACUAAUAUCCUAGUUGGAAGGGACCCCAAGGAGGGCCAUCCUGCCCAGCACCAUCCAAGCCCUCCUGGCACGUGGCCAUCCUGUGCCAAAGGAAAAUGGGAAGGGAGGAAAGGAAGGAAAGAAUAAGGAAGGGAGGGAAGAAAAAAAGGAAGAGAGAAGGGAAGAAGGAAGGAAGGAAGAAUGGAAGGGAGGGAGGGAGGGAGGAGGAAAGAAGGAAAUGAAGGAAGGAGGGAAGGAAAGAAGAGAGGAAGGAAGAAGUGAGGGAAGAAGAAGAAGGGAAGGAGGGUUUCAUCUACAGGCCAAACAGCGCCCUGAAAAAAGUUUCUAUCAACCUACAAGAGCAGUACAAAGAAUGAGUUUUAAAUGAAGAUUUUAUUUGUGUACAGCUCCUGUAAAUGAAAAGCCCUCUUUAACCUUGGUUAAUAAUAAUAAUAAUAAUAACAACAACUUUAAUUAA